rnacentral:rRNA from 1 species
AUUGAACGCUAGCGGGAUGCCUUACACAUGCAAGUCGAACGAGUGGAGGACGGGUGAGUGAGAUAUCGAAACGUGCCUAGUAGCCGGGGAUAACUAGUCGAAAGCGUGGAUAAUACUGCAUAAUACUCGUGCGGGCGAUACCGGAUUAGCUAGUUGGUGGGGUAAAGGCUCACCAAGGCAAAGAUGCGUAGCUGGUGUGAGAGGACGACCGACCACACUGGGACUGAGACACGGCCCAGACUCCUACGGGAGGCAGCAGUGGGGAAUUUUGGACAAUGGGGGAAACCCUGAUCCAGCCAUCCCGCGUGUAUGAGAAGGCCUUCGGGUUGUAAAGUACUUUUGGCAGAGAAGCGGUAUCUGAAGAAUAAGCCCCGGCUAACUACGUGCCAGCAGCCGCGGUAAUUC